GGACUGUUAGCUCAGUUGGUUUAGAGCAUCGCCUCGACAAGGCGAGGGUCGACGGUUCGAGCCCGCCACAGUCCA
rnacentral:tRNA from 1 species